AAAGCAGUUACAAAUAUAUAUCAAAUAUAAACCAGGAUUUAUAAAUGUUUUAACCUAUUUAUCGCCCCGUUUAUCACUCGAUUUAUUUUUUAAUGUUCUAAAUUAUUUUUAUUGGAAUCUAGGCUAAACCUCGGUGCUACUUUUAGGUAUGCACCCAGAUCUACAACGUACGUCACGAGUCACGUGUUAUUUGUAAGUUUCCAGCCGCCAUUUUUGGAAUUUUGAAGCGAUCAAAGCUCCGUGCCUAGACUGCAGUUUUUGGCAAUUCUCAACAUUAGGAAAGAAAACUUGAAACAGCAACCAAGAUACAGAUACAUGUACAGAUGCCCUUAAAGUUUUUGAUGAAGUUAAGAGCAAGAUACUAUCCCAUCCAGCAGUGAUACGGUAUGACCAAUUCCCAGACAAUAUGACAAAGAAUAACAAGUGGACACCAACAGUUCACAUAUGAGAAGAUGUUUUUAAGGCAGACUUCAUACAUGUACAGGAGCUUCUAAGGAGG